rnacentral:sRNA from 1 species
UGGCGUCCCCCAGCUGACAGGCCUACCUGCUCCCCACUCCUUCUCCAAGAAGGGGCAGUUUGGAGAAGGUUGUGCCAGUCACUGUGACUGUGACCACUCUGAUGGCUGUGACCCUGUUCAUGGACGCUGUCAGUGCCAGGCUGGCUGGAUGGGCGCCCGCUGCCACCUGUCCUGCCCUGAGGGCUUAUGGGGAGUCAACUGUAGCAACACCUGCACCUGCAAGAAUGGGGGCACCUGUCUCCCUGAGAAUGGCAACUGUGUGUGUGCACCCGGAUUCCGAGGCCCCUCCUGCCAGAGAUGUGAGGCUCCCUACUGCCCCUUCCACCUGCCACCAGCAGGGGGGCAGUGUAGUGUCAGAUGCCAGAGCACACCCCCCCACCGCCCCCCACCUUACCCCCGGUCUCUUCCUCUGACCUGUCUUCAGACUAGUUACUGCAGUGGGAAGGAGGGAGGGAGACGGUGGGGUAAGGGCUGAUUGA